CCUACGGGUGGCAGCAGUCGAGAAUCAUUCACAAUGGGGGAAACCCUGAUGGUGCGACGCCGCGUGGGGGAAUGAAGGUCUUCGGAUUGUAAACCCCUGUCAUGUGGGAGCAAAUUAAAAAGAUAGUACCACAAGAGGAAGAGACGGCUAACUCUGUGCCAGCAGCCGCGGUAAUACAGAGGUCUCAAGCGUUGUUCGGAAUCACUGGGCGUAAAGCGUGCGUAGGCUGUUUCGUAAGUCGUGUGUGAAAGGCGCGGGCUCAACCCGCGGACGGCAAAGGAUACUGCGAGACUAGAGUAAGGGAGGGGGAACCGGAAUUCUCGGUGUAGCAGUGAAAUGCGUAGAUAUCGAGAGGAACACUCGUGGCGAAGGCGGGUUCCUGGACAUUAACUGACGCUGAGGCACGAAGGCCAGGGGAGCGAAAGGGAUUAGAUACCCCAGUAGUC
rnacentral:rRNA from 1 species